rnacentral:rRNA from 1 species
AUUGAACGCUGGCGGCAGGCCUAACACAUGCAAGUCGAGCGGAUGAAGGGAGCUUGCUCCUGGAUUCAGCGGCGGACGGGUGAGUAAGGCCUAGGAAUCUGCCUGGUAGUGGGGGAUAACGUCCGGAAACGGGCGCUAAUACCGCAUACGUCCUGAGGGAGAAAGUGGGGGAUCUUCGGACCUCACGCUAUCAGAUGAGCCUAGGUCGGAUUAGCUAGUUGGUGGGGUAAAGGCCUACCAAGGCGACGAUCCGUAACUGGUCUGAGAGGAUGAUCAGUCACACUGGAACUGAGACACGGUCCAGACUCCUACGGGAGGCAGCAGUGGGGAAUAUUGGACAAUGGGCGAAAGCCUGAUCCAGCCAUGCCGCGUGUGUGAAGAAGGUCUUCGGAUUGUAAAGCACUUUAAGUUGGGAGGAAGGGCAGUAAGUUAAUACCUUGCUGUUUUGACGUUACCAACAGAAUAAGCACCGGCUAACUUCGUG